rnacentral:lncRNA from 1 species
CUUCGAAAUGACUCUCUACUUAUGAUCUAGAUACUUGAUAUAGGAAGUACUUUAUGAUGGUAUCAUAUCUUUACCUCGUGUCCCACUUUGAUAUAGGCUAAUAGGUAUGGGCUAUAAUUAAAUAGUUUUUCUCUCAUUAAUGAUGAAUAUGCUCGGGUCCCUUAAUGACCCUCAAUAUAUUAGUGCGAUGGUGGAUGUGUAAGCAUAGUAAUAUGGUUAGUAUUCAUCAA